rnacentral:lncRNA from 1 species
CCCUGAAUAGAAAUAGAAGUUCGCGACACGAGGGAUAUUUGUUUACCGGGAAGCUACGGAUCGCGGUUGUAUCCUUCGACCGAAAGGAGGACUCACCUUCCUUCGUGCGAAUUCACCGUCGGAUCAGCCGUCGCACACCUCUCAAUGCGCUCCGACUGCCGUCUCCAUCAGCCUCACAGCUCUCAAACUGAGCGGUGGAUGAGCCAGCGAACGUAGGUGAAUCCUUCUUCCGCGACAAGGAUACAGCUACGAUGCAACUCAUUGUGAUUGGGACCGGAAAAUAAAUCCUUCAGUAAAGAAAAAGAUAAAGAUAAAGAUGCAACUCAUUGCGAUUGGGCUCGUAUAGAGAAUAACAUGUCCCACAGGCUGGCCUGCGCAAACGCAAUCCGACAACGGAAAAUAUCCUGCUCCUAUUUUCCCAAAAUCCGG